rnacentral:rRNA from 1 species
UACGUAGGGGGCGAGCGUUGUCCGGAUUUAUUGGGCGUAAAGAGCGUGUAGGCGGCCUGUCAAGUCCGAUGUGAAAUGUUACGGCUUAACCGUGAAUCUGCAUUGGAAACUGACAGGCUAGAGUCUGGAUGAGGAGAAUGGAAUUCCUGGUGUAGCGGUGAAAUGCGCAGAUAUCAGGAGGAACACCGGUGGCGAAGGCGGUUCUCUAGGACAGUACUGACGCUGAGACGCGAAAGCGUGGGGAG